GGGAUGGACUUACCUCUGGUGCACCAGUUGUCACGCCAGUGGCACAGCUGGGUAGCUAUGUAGGGACGGGAUAAACGCUGAAAGCAUCUAAGCGUGAAGCCCACCUCAAGAUUAGAUUUCCCAUAACGUUAAGUUAGUAAGACCCCUGGAAGACUACCAGGUUGAUAGGUCAGAGGUGUAAGUACAGUAAUGUAUUAAGCUGACUGAUACUAAUAGGUCGAGGGCUUGAUCAA
rfam:Clostridium grantii DSM 8605 genome assembly, contig: EJ34DRAFT_scaffold00015.15